AACGAACGCUGGCGGCAGGCUUAACACAUGCAAGUCGAGCGCCCCGCCAGGGGAGCGGCAGACGGGUGAGUAACGCGUGGGAACGUACCUUUUGGUUCGGAACAACUCCGCGAAACUGGCGCUAAUACCGGCUAAGCCCUAACGGGGAAAGAUUUAUCGCCGAAAGAUCGGCCCGCGUCUGAUUAGCUAGUUGGUGAGGUAACGGCUCACCACGGCGACGAUCAGUAGCUGGUCUGAGAGGAUGAUCAGCCACACUGGGACUGAGACACGGCCCAGAAUCCUGCGGGAAGCAGCAGGGGGGAAUAUUGGACAAGGGGAGCAAGCCUGAUCCAGCCAUGCCGCGUGAGUGAUGAAGGCCUUAGGGUUGUAAAGCUCUUUUGUCCGGGAAGAUAAUGCCUGUACCGGAAGAAUAAGCCCCGGCUAACUUCGUG
rnacentral:rRNA from 1 species